UACGUAGGGUGCGAGCGUUAAUCGGAAUUACUGGGCGUAAAGCGUGCGCAGGCGGUUGCGCAAGACAGAUGUGAAAUCCCCGGGCUCAACCUGGGAAUUGCAUUUGUGACUGCACGGCUAGAGUGUGUCAGAGGGGGGUAGAAUUCCACGUGUAGCAGUGAAAUGCGUAGAGAUGUGGAGGAAUACCGAUGGCGAAGGCAGCCCCCUGGGAUAACACUGACGCUCAUGCACGAAAGCGUGGGGAGCAAACAGG
rnacentral:rRNA from 1 species